UACGUAGGUGGCAAGCGUUGUCCGGAUUUAUUGGGUUUAAAGGGUGCGUAGGCGGCUUUGUAAGUCAGUGGUGAAAUAUGGCAGCUCAACUGUCAGGGUGCCAUUGAUACUGCAGAGCUUGAGUACAGAUGAGGUAGGCGGAAUUGACGGUGUAGCGGUGAAAUGCUUAGAUAUCGUCAAGAACACCGAUAGCGAAGGCAGCUUACUGGGCUGUAACUGACGCUGAGGCACGAAAGCUAGGGGAGCGAACAGG
rnacentral:rRNA from 1 species